UUAAAGAAGAAUGUAAAAUUAAUUUUUCAAAUCUUAAGGAUUUAGAAAAACAAAAUACUUCAUUGAGAGCUGAAAAUUCUUAUUUGAAACAACUGUUAUCCUCAAAACAUAAAUCGAAUAAUAUGAUGGAUGCACAUUCAAGUAAUAACAGUUUUACAGAUAAUAUGAAAUCUGACUCAAAUACACAAAAGAAUUAUUCAAAGUAAGAGUUUUAUUAAAUUUAUUCUUAUUUUCUUUUAAUGAUAUGAAACCAUGCUUUAAACUUUGUUGCUGCUUCAUACACAAUAAAGUGCUAUAAAUUAAGACACUUGGCAGAUUUUCUUAUCUUUAUUUAGUUGAUAUUUGUGAAAGUUACACAUUUCAGGCUCCUAAGCCCCUCUUCAGCCAACUAUGCAUAAAAGUCUUACAAAUUAAAGUGACAUCAGCUUAUUCUUAUGUAUUAAAUUUAUUCAGUUUGAAUAGUUACUUUUUGCAAAUUUUAUACAAAAUGUUUUUCCUUUUAUUUAAAACAAGCUGCUGUUACUAUGAAAUUGAUUAACAAUUAUGCAUGUUGCUGUGGCCGGUGGCCAUAUCGGAAUACGUUUAUUUUAUUAUUAUUGGUAUAUACAUAUUCUUAGUUUUAAUAUUCUUUCCCUAUUUCUUCGAUUUCUUUGUGUGUUCGUUCUAGAACAUUCCAUGACCGUUAUAGCCUUUAGGGGGGAUUAGCGAUUCUGUGAAUCGCAAAGAACAAUAGUGCAGGAAAUUACACCCCUCUGAGAGAAGAACAAAGAAGGGUGUGUAGAGGGGACUGAGGAGGUAAGAAGGGAGAGAAUCGAGGGAGACACAGAGAGAAUAAGACGUGUCGAGGUGAACUCCGGACUUGACUGAGAGCCGAAGAAAGAGAGACUUCUCGGGAGGGUCAAGCGACGGACUGGAGAGAAUCAGAGUCCCCACGGCUGAAGGCCCAACGAUAGAAAAACUGAAGACAUUUUGCUUCACCAAGGAAGUAGAUCCGAGGACACAGUAAGAGUUGGAAAGAGAGCGAAAAAUAAAAACGAUCCGACCUAGAGCGAAAAAUC